UACCAGCACCCCGAGUGGUCGGGACGAUUAUUGGGCCUAAAGCAUCCGUAGCCGGUCUUGCAAGUCUUCCGUUAAAUCCACCUGCUUAACAGAUGGGCUGCGGAAGAUACUACAAGACUAGGAGGCGGGAGAGGCAAGCGGUACUCAGUGGGUAGGGGUAAAAUCCGUUGAUCCAUUGAAGACCACCAGUGGCGAAGGCGGCUUGCCAGAAUGCGCUCGACGGUGAGGGAUGAAAGCUGGGGGAGCAAACCGG
rnacentral:rRNA from 1 species